GUCGAGCGGAUGAAGGGAGCUUGCUCCUGGAUUCAGCGGCGGACGGGUGAGUAAUGCCUAGGAAUCUGCCUGGUAGUGGGGGAUAACGUCCGGAAACGGGCGCUAAUACCGCAUACGUCCUGAGGGAGAAAGUGGGGGAUCUUCGGACCUCACGCUAUCAGAUGAGCCUAGGUCGGAUUAGCUAGUUGGUGGGGUAAAGGCCUACCAAGGCGACGAUCCGUAACUGGUCUGAGAGGAUGAUCAGUCACACUGGAACUGAGACACGGUCCAGACUCCUACGGGAGGCAGCAGUGGGGAAUAUUGGACAAUGGGCGAAAGCCUGAUCCAGCCAUGCCGCGUGUGUGAAGAAGGUCUUCGGAUUGUAAAGCACUUUAAGUUGGGAGGAAGGGCAGUAAGUUAAUACCUUGCUGUUUUGACGUUACCAACAGAAUAAGCACCGGCUAACUUCGUGCCAGCAGCCGCGGUAAUACGAAGGGUGCAAGCGUUAAUCGGAAUUACUGGGCGUAAAGCGCGCGUAGGUGGUUCAGCAAGUUGGAUGUGAAAUCCCCGGGCUCAACCUGGGAACUGCAUCC
rnacentral:rRNA from 1 species